AACCUUGUGGUACUACUCAUGCAGGAUACAAACAAACAGAUCAUAUAUGUCCUUGAAAGCUCAUCUUCUCUUUAAAAUGCCAUUAUAAAGCAGCAGCAAUAUGAGUGUCAAGAAGAAGAAAAGGCAAAAAUUUUCCCAAUCCCAAAAACAUAAAAGCAAAAAGGGAAGAAGAAAUUAAACAGCAUGGGAUCCAAAGAGCAAAAAAAAGCAUUGCUCAAUCAACAGUUGGAGCAACUCGGUUCAAUUACUAAUUCUCCUUCAGUGAAUAAGACAUCAAUCAUUGCCCAUGCAUCAAAGUAUAUAGAGGAAUUAAAAGAAAGGAUUGACAAGUUAAAUGAAGAUGUUUCAACGUCACAACCUUCUCAUGAUCAUGAUAAUGAAGAUUCUUUACCAGUGGUUACAGUAGAAACCCUAGAGAAGGGAUUCAUAACAAAUGUGUUCACAGAAAAGAAUAGCCCUGGUUUGCUAGUCUCCAUAUUGGAAGCCUUUGAACAGCUUGGCCUUGAAUUAUCAGAUGCUAGGAUUUCUUGUUCAGAUAGUUUUCGCCUUGAAGCUGUUAGUGAUAAUGAAGGACAAAUUGAAUGCGUAGAUGCCCAAAUGGUAAAACAAGCAGUCUUGGAAGCUAUAAGGACCUGGAACCAAAGCAACGAACAAGAUUAGUCUAAUCAGCUUUUGUUACCCCCCUCCCCCCCUCCCCCCCCAGAAAAAAAAAAACCCCAAGCCAAACCCAUAAAAACAAAAGAAAAAAAAAGAACAAAAAAAAAAAAAAAAAAAAAGAGAGAAACAAACGAGGCAAAUAAGCAAAAAGGAAAAGUCUUUUUUGUAGCUCCUGCAUUCUAUGGAUUAAUAUUAAUCAACAACGGCAUCAUUUGAAAACUUGCUUGAGCACACCCAUAAUCACUUAUAUAUUUGUAUACGGUAUAAACCGGGGUAAAAUGUUUGGGUUCGUCGACGGAAGAUCGGAGCAAGAUAUGAGAGUUGGCUUUGAGAUGUAACAUCGGUUCGGGUUCAACCAGCCGGAUAGAAUAAAGCUGAGGGAUCAUAAACCGGAGGGACGCUAGUUGACACGAACGCGAGAAAUUCGACCUGCAACUGAUUUCUCGCCGGCCGUUGCGCCAACCGUCACGUUAUCAACCGUUGAGGCACCCGAGAUCGUCGAGAUCACUAUCUCCUUAACAGAUUUAGUUACCAUUUAGAGCUCUAACUCUUGUACUAUAUACAUAUAGGUGAAUCCUCUCAUGAGGGCAUCUGAUUCUCGUUACUCUUACAUUCUUACUCUGUAACCACUCAAGUUCUUAAGUUAUUGAUAAGAUUUGGCUCGGGCAUCAAGCCCAUUGCUCUGAACUGGACCAAUUCACGGUGUCCAUCAAUUGACGAUUAAGGCUA